rnacentral:lncRNA from 1 species
AUGUUUAUAUAUAGAGAGAGAGAGAGAGAGAAGGUCCGUCUAUGAUACUUGUAAAAAAACAAAGCAUUUAUUACUUGUAAGUUUUCUGCCGUUAGAUCUGAUCUUUUGAUUAUUUUCAGCCGUUAGAUCAUCCUAUUCAACCAACCACCCACUAUUAUCCUAACCGCACAUCUCUUAAUUUAAAAAUUAAAAACCUAUAAGUGACAUAAGAACAAAACUUUAUUAC